rnacentral:antisense_RNA from 1 species
AAUUAUGGUGAGUUGGAUGAGGGCGCUUCGUGCGCACCGUUUCCAAGUAGGCGGGGUUCUAACCUUAUUCAGCUCACCACCCUC